GAGGUUGUGGCUCAGUGGCAGAGUGCUUGCCUAGCACGUAAGAGUCACUGGGUUCAAUUCUCAGCAUUGCA
rnacentral:tRNA from 1 species